AUGAAACACUGUUUUCAAAAUAUUUAAAAAAAGAUUUAUACACAAUGCAGAGUAAAGCUAUGUUGACUAUGACACUGCUUUGUAUAUUUUAAUCUGCAUUGACUCCUCUUGUAUCUUGUACCUUAAGGUAGAAAUACAAAGAUAUUAGGGUAUUUAUAAUCAUUAAGACCAACAGACAAAAAUGUAAAUAUUAAGUAAAUUAGUGUCUCAAUGCACUAAUUCUGCAAUUACGAUUUUCUCUCUGUCUGCUCUGCUUGAGAAAAUAGUACAGCACAUCCUGAAGCUAAAAGCAAAUGUCAGCGCAGCAGAUAGGCAGGGCAAUCAGUGAGACGGCACUGAGUAAAGCGUCAGGACAGACAGCUGUGACAUGAGCAGAUUGUUUAGUGGACUGAGACGAGAGCAAAUAUGGCAGCCAGGAUGUUCUCUCCAAAUGUACAUUGUAUAUUGAACUGAAGCUAGAAAAUAUUUAAGGAGGUACAUGCAGAAUGAACAGUUUGGCAUUGAAAAUAAGAAUCUCUAGCUUAACGGAUCUCUGAUCUUGUAUUAAAAAUGCACUGGAAUCCAUCAGGGGCACCGCUAGGGUUUCUGGGCCCCCAAGGCCCCACCCCCCAAUUAUCUUUUCUUAUUGCCAUGUGUACAAACAAUCAUUAUCAAUAAGCAUAACAAUUAUUGCAUAUUCAAUAAGAGACUAUAAAGAACUAAAUUUGAACAGUUCAUUAAAUGAACUGAAAUUAUGCAUUUAUAACCAUAUACAAGAAACUAUAUAUACAGUACAAGUAAUUAACACCUUUGUACUCUCUCUCUCGCUCUCAUACACAGACACUAUAGAAACUCUGUCUGGAUUUCUUAUAAACUGUUGACUUGUAAUUUCUUAUUACCCAAGUACCAAGAACAAUGAACAUUCUUCUUCUUCUUCUUCUUCUUCUUCUUCUUAUUAUUAUUAUUAUUAUUAUUAACUGAGGGAAUAAUAAGUUUCACACACCAGUAGCUCCAGAAAGAAAUAUGGAAGUUAGUUAAACAGUGACAGGAUUAUUGAAUCAGUGAGUUGAACUUGAGAACCAAAUCGGUUCUAUUCAUGAAUGAAUCACUCAGACUGGUUUUACCAACGGGAUUCUCCAAUUCAUUGAAAUGAACCGACUCAAACAAACAAUUCACUCACGAAUCGGACAUCGUUACAACACGUCUCUCAUAAACUCACUCGGGACAAUUAAAGUAGGUUUAUAUGAAUACAUUAAAUUUCGAUCGAAGCCUCACAGAAAGCUGUUGCAAGGCUUCGGAAAGCUUGAAUAUAUACAACACCGGACUAGUUUUAUUGUCGCUUGAAGCUCAAUGCUCCAUUACUGUUGCUCGACUGCGUAGAAAAACAUUAAUUCUUGGAAAUAUUGUGUUCCAACUUCCAAGGAUAAACAUCAGGGGUUUGGUGUGGCAUGGCAGAGCUACUGCUCUCAAUGUGAUGCUGAUGGAAUACAGGCUUAAUUGCAAACCAAAUUACAGCCAGGUAAUUACAGCCAUGUACAAAAUAAGUUAAUUGGAAAAGCAGUAUAGUUUUCACUGCUUGCAAUCCCUGUAUGUAAUAUUAAUUUGCUAUACUUUUUGUGUUUAUAUGUGCCUACUGACUUCAGCUUUGCAAAAUGACUUCCCUGCUGCUUACAACACUGUGGAGGGCGUGCGCUUACGGGGGAGUAGAAUACAGCCAUGAUCAAGUCAGAAUGGACUGCACUGAGAGAAUAACAGGAUACCUGCUGUGGAAAGGCAGUUCUCUUCAUCACUGUUGUCCUGGCAGUUGUCUUGGCCAUUACAGAGGAAACUUCGAUCCACACAUCGG